rnacentral:snRNA from 1 species
CUGCUCGCUUGGGCACAUAUACUAUAACUGAACAAUACAGAGAUUAGCAUGGCUGCUGUGCAGGAAUGACACAAAUUGUUUAAAAAAGUAAACAUUUUGG